GGAGCAUACCGCGUGAGGGAAGACGGCCUAUGGGUUGUAACCAUCUUUCCCCUUGGAGGAAUUUUGACUCUGUACCUGAAGAAUAAGCAUCGGCUUAACUCCGAUGCCAGCAGCCGCGGUAACACGGAGGAUGCAAGUGUUAUCUUGGAAUCACUGGGCGCAAAGCGUCUGUAACCGGUGAAGCAGGUCAAGUGUGAAAUCGUGGGGCUCAACUUGAUAAUCGCAGUCUAAACUGUU
rnacentral:rRNA from 1 species